AGAGUUUGAUCCUGGCUCAGAACGAACGCUGGCGGCAUGCCUAACACAUGCAAGUCGAACGCUUACCCGGUUUUGGCCGGGUAGGAGUGGCGCACGGGUGAGUAGCGCGUGGGAACCUGCCCUGUUGUGGGGGAUAACCGAGGGAAACUUCGGCUAAUACCGCAUAAGCCGGUUGUCUUGAGAGAGAGGGCCGGGAAAGAUUUAUCGCGACAGGAGGGGCCCGCGUCGGAUUAGCUAGUUGGUGGGGUAACGGCCUACCAAGGCACCGAUCCGUAGCUGGUCUGAGAGGAUGAUCAGCCACACUGGGACUGAGACACGGCCCAGACUCCUACGGGAGGCAGCAGUGGGGAAUAUUGGACAAUGGGCGCAAGCCUGAUCCAGCAAUGCCGCGUGAGUGAUGAAGGCCUUCGGGUUGUAAAGCUCUUUCGGCGGGGACGAUGAUGACGGUACCCGCAGAAGAAGCCCCGGCUAACUUCGUGCCAGCAGCCGCGGUAAUACGAAGGGGGCGAGCGUUGUUCGGAUUUACUGGGCGUAAAGGGCGCGUAGGCGGCGCGAGAAGUCAGGCGUGAAAGCCCCGGGCUCAACCUGGGAAUGGCGCUUGGGACUCUCGUGCUCGAGUUCGGGAGAGGAGAGUGGAAUUCCCAGUGUAGAGGUGAAAUUCGUAGAUAUUGGGAAGAACACCGGUGGCGAAGGCGGCUCUCUGGACCGAGACUGACGCUGAGGCGCGAAAGCGUGGGGAGCAAACAGGAUUAGAUACCCUAGUAGUCC
rnacentral:rRNA from 1 species